rnacentral:lncRNA from 1 species
UCUAUUUUAUUCAAUAUUUUCAAUAUUCAUCACAUGUUUCUUUCAAAAAAAAAAAAAUCGUUCACAUGUUGAUUUUUCGUACAUGUAGCUUACUGCAGCAUGUAAGAAAACAAAGAAACAAUGGAAGCCCCAACCAAUGAUCCAAGAACAGGCAAGGUAGCGGCAGCCAUGCUGGAAUCCGGUCCUGAUGCUGGAGCGGAACCAGGAGAGGAGCUAGGACUAGAACCACCGGCUGAAGGGGCAGGAGAUGGUGCACCGGCAGCCAUGACGGCGCUCAUUGAGGCGGCAGCAACAAUGAUGGCGGUGGAGACCUUCUUCAUGUCCAUGGCGUAUAAAGUGAUUAUUAAACGCACAGGAAAUGAGAGGGACCUGCGUUUAAUUACCGGUGAAUGGGGAUCCGCCGAUGAUUGUUAUUAUUUGCUUUGUUAUUGCAGGUCUGAAGAACAAUGAUGGUGGGGAGGAUCAUUUAUAGGUGAAAAUUCAUGGCUAUUUUUAGUGACGAAAUUUUUUUAAAAAAAUUACGUGUUCGGUUUUCGCAUGGUUUGCGGGAUAGACAUGCAAUUUUUUUAAAUAUUUUUUUAACGAUUUUGACUGGUUUUUAGAUAAGGAGAUUUUUGAUAAAUUAUAAUAAGAAGGGAAUUUUUUUUUUGGUAACAAGAAAAGGAUUAAAAAAUUAACAAGAAAUAUAUAACGGGAUUCGAACACACAAACAUGCUAUCCAUCCUUACAAGAUGACUGACUAAAGAAGGGGCACUAUGAAAUAUCUGUGUGCCAACCGGUGCUUCCUUCAUCAUAUCAGCCAACGAGUGUGCUAUAGAGUUAACUUCUCUUGGAAUCUAUUUGAAGACAACAUUUAAAUCACAACUUAUUAACUCUCGAAUUAUAAGAACCAAAUCUCUCUGAACACACCCUCUCAAUUCGCCAAUAAUUCCUUUAAAGGCAAGUACACAAUCUAUUUCCACUAAGAUAUCUCGUCAUUGGGCAUCCCAUGCCAUAAUAAGCCCAUUAUAGAUCGCCUAAAGCUCCGCUUGCUCCACACCACACCUACCAAUAUUUCUACUUACUCCAUGAGUCCAAUUGCCAAAUUCAUCUCUCACCACUGCUGCCGAAGCUGCCAAACUCAAUACUGGAUCAUGGGCCCUAUCAGUAUUCAAUUUAAUGGUACCCGUCGGAAGAGGGAUCCAUCGGGUACACCUAGUUUGUCUUCUGGAACAAUCAUCCGGUCUUCCAGCUGUGCACUUAGAGCAUUAACCUAAUUCCAUGAAGAGUGAAAGAUAAAAUCUUUACUGAACGGAACAUCCUGGAACACAUACAAACAUCUAUGUUUCCAAAUCUUCCAACAGAGCAUACCAAACAGAGACCUUCAAUCAAGUUCAUGAAAAACUAAGCCAAAUACAUUCCUCAACUUAACCCUUAGCCAGUCUUUCGCGAGUAAGAGAAGAAACGAUGCAAUAAUCUCGGAGGAAUAACCUGCUCCCAAAUAUCUCUUACCUUACAACAAUCCUUUAAGGAAUGAAUAAUAGAUUCAUUUUUACAUCUGCAAAACUUACAAGAAGAAGAAUCUGACAUACCUCUUCUACAAUGUUCCACAUUAGUUAAUAAGCGUUCCUUGAAAACCAUCCAAAGAAAUUGUCUUACACGUUGUGGCCUUGCAAAAGACCAGACGAUUUUCCAACUAUCUUACGAAGGAUUCAAGGCAUCUUUAUUGAGAAAAUUAUAGGUAGACUUAACUGAUAAACUCCCAUUAAAAUAUCAUUGUGAUAUCAUUGAAUCGGGACCAACUAGGCAAUUAGGAACUGGAAUACCUGCAAUGUAAGAUAAAAUAAUAUCAUCUAAGAAACAUCUUAGGUACUACCGGUUCCAAUCCUCGUCCAUCGACACCAUUCCCCUAAGAGAAAUGGAUUCAUUAAUAAGCGAGAUGUUAUGGCAAAAAUUAAUCAAAGGUCCAACCUUAAUGACCCAAUUAUCGGUCCAAAAUUUGAUACGAUUACAAUCACCCGCAAACCAUGCAACACAUUUGCGCAAAAGUGGCCAAAUCUUUGCAAGUGAUCUCCAAAGAAAGGAACAACAAUUCUUUGUAAUGUCAACCAGGAAAUCAUCAACUAUUUUGUAUUUAGCUCUCAGGAAAAUAACCCAUAAAGCUUUUUUAUUUGUGAGGAAAUUAAACCCCAACUUGAGUAGAAAAGAGUCGUUCUGGACUGUAAACCUCCUGAUACCUAAACCUCCAUUAGAAAGUGGUUGGCAACAAUCAUUCCACCUAACUAAAGAAGGCUGCUGAUUUGUAUUGGAACUCCCCCAAAUAAAACCUUGAGCUAUAUUUUCAAUCUCAUUACAGACAGAAAUAGGAAUCUUAACAGAUUGCAUGAAGUAGUUAGGGAUUGAUAGCAAGACUGAUCGUGCCAAAAUGACUCGACCAACCAUUGAAAGUGGCUUAGCAUCCCAACUAUCCAACUUCCUCCAGAUCUUGUCAAUAACAAAAUGGAAAGUGCUCAUUGUAACUCGUCGAUGAAAUAACGGUACACCCAAAUAAAAAUCCAAAUCAUCAGUCAUGCUAAAUCCCAAUGUACUACAAAUUUAGCAGAAACAUUAACCUCAAUAAUCUUUGAAAAGAAAAUGUUAGUUUUUGGCCCAUUGACUUUAUGCCCCGACGCUGCUCCAAAAAUCCUUAGAACGUUCCGAAUUCUUAUAGCUUGAUUCAUAUAUGUGACACUGGCGGCCCAUUUUUACCAACUGAAAAAGUUUCCACGUCUUAUCCUCAACCUCUUUAUGAGUAAGCUGUCCCAGUCUCUCCAUACAUAGAAUGAAAAUAUAAGGAGAUAAUGGGCAUCCCUGCCGGAUACUUCUCGUUGGUUGGAAUCAGGGAUUCAAAUAACGGAACGUUUUUAGAAUAACGGCGUUAUAUAGCGGUAGCGCCGCCGACCGAAACCGCUAUUGCUGAAAAUAACGGAGGGAAGCGGAUUCACACCGAUAACGGUGGAUAGCGGCCGCAAUUUAACGGAUAACGGACAAUUGCGGCAAUAACGGGCCUCUAUUCCCGUUAUUUUCCGUUUCCGUAAAUUAAAAAAAAAUCAAGUGCUGUAGAUGGACAUGGAUGGUGAUUCUGGUGAAUGAAAUAUUGAAGUGAAUAGUGAAAAGUGAAAAGUGAGAAGAAAGACUGAAUAAUUGUACUUCAUAAUAAAACAAAAGACAAGGGAAUAUAUUCCCUCCCAACCUGCAAUCAAAACAAAGUAAAGUAAAAGACUGAAUCUGAAAGUCGAUUAAAAAAAUCAAAACUCACUCACACAACACAAUACAAGGCAGUACUCAGUAAGUCAGACUCACAAACUCACAUUUCACAGAAUCACAAGCAAACGAAAAGGCAAAAUAUAUUUCUUCAUUCUCCAUAUUUCGGCAAGGCAAAAAACACAGCCACAGGGCACAGGCAGCAAGCAAAGCAAUAGAUCAAGUAAGUAGAGAAAACUAACCCAGUAAAGUACUUGCAUGUCUUGAAUCUGCAACAUAGAGUGAUUUUUUGAUAUUUUUAUCCCUAGAUCUAUAUUCUACACAAAAAAAGGGGGGGUUAAAAUGUUUUCGGCGAUUUCCGACCACCGUGCACGGCGGCGCCGUCGCCGGUGAUCGGCGGCUGCCCCAGUGGCCGAUGGCCGGAUUCUGGGCAACGGCAGAGAAGAAAGAUAAUUGAGAGAAAAAGGCAAAAAAAUUAUUUGAAGAAUCGCUGAAAUGAAGAUUCUGAAAAUUUUUUUCAUUUAAAUAGGCCUUCAAAACGACGCCGUUUUGGGCAGGCCACUCUGGCACCAAAACGACGCCGUUUCGGCCUAACCCGCGCACUUACUCGACCCGUUUACUAGGAUCCGCGUGUUUUUAACAGAAGGGUUAAUUGCGCUUUUAGCCCUUCCUAUUUUUUAUUAUUUACAAUCAAGCUUAUUUCUUUUUUAAUUUUGUCCUAUAAUUUAUUUCGUAUUUCAAUUUGGUCCACCUUGAAGCUGUGCGUUUUGAAGGAUGGGGAUUAUUUCCCAUUUGAUCCAUUUUUGUUAUUUGUGCAUUCAAUUUGGUCCUUUUUCUUUUUAUUUAUUUCGGAUUUGCCGCAAAUUUAUGUUUUAAGUUCGAUUUAGUCCCUUUUUGUUAUUUUUGCUAUUUUAUUAUUAAAUUAAUUAAUUUAAUAUUACUAUUACUAUUAUUAUUUUUCCUUUUUUAUUUUAUUAUUUAUUUACUUGUUAUUAUUACCAUAUUAUUAAAAUUUAAUUAGUUUUGCAUUAUUAUUUCAAUUAUAUUUCUUUUCAUAUUUAUUUACCUAAAUAUUUUAAAUACAUUUAUUUUAUUAUAUCAUUUUAUUUAUCUAUAUAGUAUAUCCUUUCAUAUAAUUUUUAAUUUUAAGAUUUUUAUUAUUGUUAUUAUUAUUAUUAAUACCAUCAUCAUCAUCAUCAUCAUGAUUAUUAUUAUUAUUAUUAUUAUUAUUAUUUAUUACCAUUAUUAUUAUUAUUAAUAAAAUUUUUUACACAAUAUUUAUUUAUUUAUUUCUAUAAUAUUAGGUCUUUACUUUAGCUUUAAAUUUUGUUUACUUUUUUUGGUAUUAUAUUGUUGUUAAUAUAACUAUAUAAGUAAUGAGUUGCUUAUAUUUCUAAAUAUAAUUUUAUGUUUCUUAUAUAAAUAAAAAUAAAGCAUGCCACCACGUGAAGAGUUCCCGACUAAAGGAUUGGAGGGUGCACCAAGUAAUGAUAUAGGUUGGCACUUUGGAACUCUAGUGCCAAAUGCGAGAGGAAGUAUCGUAUGUAAACUUUGUGGUAAAGUUGUGAAAGGAGGAAUAACACGAUUUAAAGAGCACAUUGCUCAUAAAACCGGCAAUGUUGCACCAUGCCCUAAUGUUACUGGUAUGUGAUACUUUAUUAUUAUUAUUAAAUGUUAUUGUAAAUUUAUCAAUAAAGAUUAUAUAUAAUUGAUAAUAAUAUAAAGUGUGAAUUAUUUUUAUUUUAUUAACAGGUGUCAUUAGAGAAAGUAUGAUGAAUGUACUAAAAGAAAGCAACACAAAGAAAAUAGACAAAAAGAGGAGAAAAGAUGAAUUCUUAUCUCAAUUAACAGAAGAGGAGGAUGAGCAUGAGGGAUUCAUUGAUGAGGUUUCUGCUAUAAGGCAAGCAACUCGAGAAAGUAUCCAAUCACAACACGAGUGGUAUAGAAGGGAAGAAUUCAGACGAAGUACUGGUGGUUGGGAUAACAUUUAUGAAGAAGGGCGAUCUUCUCAUGGAUCAGCUAGAGAACAUAAUAGAGAAAGAACAAGUAAAUCUAUUCCAGGUGAGUUUGAGUUUACCUUAAGGGGAGCUAUACCUGAAUUGGUUAGAAGCAAAAGUUCAAAGCAACCAAAGGUCAAUGACUCUUUUUUAAAGAGUUUUCGAAGGAAGAUAGGUGAAGCGGUAUCUAAAUUUAUAAUAUAUGAAAGACUUCCUUUUCAAUUAGCAAGCUCUCCAUGGUUGUAUAACUUAAUUCAAGUGGCAACAGAAGUUGGACAAGGUGUAAAGCUCCCAACACCUUAUGAGGUUUCAGAUGUGUAUUUGGAGUCAGAGUAUCAACGAGUUCAUGAUUGGGUAAAUGUACUAAAGACUCAUUGGAAAGAAUUGGGUGCAACUCUAAUGUGUGAUGGUUGGACCAACAGUUUGAAUCAAAUGCACAUCAUUAAUUUCCUUGUUUAUUGCAGUAAAGGAACCAUUUUUUGGAAAUCGGUAGAUGUCUCAAGUGUCCGUAGUAGAGAUGCUGAAUUCUACUACCGUUUAUUAGAUUCAGUUGUAGAAGAAAUUGGAGAAAAUUACAUUGUCCAAAUAGUGACUGAUAAUGAGGCAGCAAUGAAAGCUGCUGGAAAAAAGUUAAUGUUGAAAAGACAACAUCUAUAUUGGACCUCAUGUGCAGCUCACUGUUUAGAUUUAUGCCUUGAAGAUAUUGGGAAAAAGCCCAGUGUAGCAAAAGUGUUAGAUGAGGCAAAGAAAGUGACUUGCUUUAUAUACAAUCACAUUUGGACUGUUGAUUUGAUGAAGAAGUAUACACAAGGGAAACAAAUACUUCGACCCGCUCUUACUCGAUUUGCAACUCAUUUCAUUCAACUUGAAGAGAUAACAAGACAAAAGCAAGGUUUGAGAGAAAUGUUUAAUUCAAAGGUCAGUAUUUUAUAAUUAGUUAAUAUAAUUACUUAAAUAUAGUAAUCUUUAGUGAUUUUAUUAGUUCCAAAUAAUUUAAAUUAUAUUAUUUUAAAAUUUUUCUUAUGAAUAUAUAGGAAUUUAAAGAAUCAAAAUGGGGAAAGCAAAAGUCAGGGCCUGCUUAUGAAGCCAAAAAUAUUGUUUUGGGAAAAGAUUUUUGGAAAAAAGCCAAUGACCUCAUAAAAGUUUAUGAGCCCUUAGUAAGAGUAUUGAGACUUGUGGAUAGUGAUGAAAAACCAACGAUGGGCUUUAUUUAUGAGGCUAUUGAUAGGGCUAAACGAGCAAUUCAACAAAAUUGUCGAUAUUUCACAGAGUAUGAAAAGAUUAUUGACAAUAGAUGGAAUUUUAUGCAUUCCGACUUGCAUUAAGCUGGUAAGAUAAAAUAUUUCAUAUAAUUAAGAACUAUUUUUAUAUUUUAUUAUUUUAAGCUUUAGAUUAUUAUUAUUUGAUGAUAUUCUUAUAAAUUAUACUUAGGUUAUUUUCUCAACCCUCAAUUUCAAUUUGGGGUGGAGCAUUCUGAGAAUGUAUUAAUAGAAACAUUAGAAGGUACACGAUCAGUAAUUGAAAGAUUAGAACCUUCUAUGGAUACUCAAGUCAGAAUGGUUAAUCAGGUUAGAUUCAACUACUAUUAUUUGUAACUUAGUUAAAUAAUUUGAAAUAGAAUUUUUAUUUUUAUUUUUACUCUAUCUUUUAUUUAUGCAGUUGUUAUUAUUUAGAGAUAAACAUGAGACAUUCGGUACUCCACAAGCACAAAGAGCUUGGAAGCAAAUGAAUCCGGGUAAACAGUUAAUUAAAUUAUUUAAUUUAAUUUAUAUUAUUUAAUUAUAUUGUACAUUUUAAAGUUAUUUUGAAAUUUAAAUAAUAUUAUGCAGCUGAGUGGUGGAUGAUAUAUGGCACAUGUGUUCCCGAAUUACAAAAAUUAGCAAUUAAAGUGCUUAGUCAAACAACUUCAGCAUCAAAUUGCGAACGAAAUUGGAGCACAUUUAGUUAUAUUCACACCAAGGCAAGAAAUAGGUUAAAGUAUAAAAAACUUGAAAAACUAGUGUUUACCUAUUAUAAUAUGAGGCUUAAGAUGAGGCAUCAACAAAGAAUGAGCACUGAUGAUAUAAAUGUUAGUUUUAAUCCUAUCAGCCUUGAUUAUAUCUUUGAAGAUGUUGAUCCACUAUCAGAAUGGCUUCAUGAGAAAGAGAAUCCAUUGUUAGAUGGUGAAAAUGCCGGUGUGUUGCCUGUGGAUACCUCUGAUGAUGAAAUGGAUGUUGAUCAAUCGCAACAACAAAUUUUGUCUCAUUCAAGUUCUAGUUCAACUCCAAGUCAGAGUGGCGAUGGACCCGAUGGUGGUGGUUUAAGUCCAAUUGAUGAGGAUGACGGAUAUAGUGGUGAUAGAGGUGAAAUUAGGUCUUCUAGUCAGUAUGGAGGAGAAUAUGGGGGUGGUACCACUGGUGGACAUUUUCGUGACAGAUCAGAGUUUGAUGGAAAUAUGUUUCCUGAACCUAGGAGAGAUAGAAGUGAACCUAGAGCUCCAUCAAAGGGAAAAGGCAAGAAGCAUACUUCUAUAGGCUCUUCAUCUGGUAGUGGUAGGAGAUCGAGUUCUAGUAACCUUGGGUAUAGUGAUUCAUCUACUAGCACUCAAGGUUUUUAUCCACCAGAACAACCUUCACAUGGUUAUCCACAACCAUAUGGUUAUUAUCCACCAUUUCCUAAUUAUGGUGUGCCAUACCAGCCUCAAAUGUAUCCUCCUCCACCAAUGUAUCACCCACCUCCACCUUUCAUGUAUCCUCCUCCUCAAAUAUAUCCUCCAUAUCAAUUGAAUGAAAACCAAGGUGAAAAUGUUGCUUUUUUUGGAUAUAUUUUUGGACAAAGGCCAAGAGAAUCAAGUCAAGAACGCUCCCAAAGUGAAGGUGAAGGAUUUGAUCUUCCUCGUCAUUCCACUAAUUGGUGAAAACUAAAUCGUGCCACUAUCAUUAUUUGUAAGGUAUGUUUUUUUUAAAGAAAUCCUUUGUUAUUGUUCUUAAUUUUGAUGAUAUUAAAACAUUUAAAAUAAUAUAUAUCUUUAGAUAAAUGAAUGAAGUAUAUUUCAUGAAAAGAUAAUGAAGAAUCGAAGCAUGUUAAAUUAUAUAUGAAAGUAGAAUGAGAUGAGAAUAAGUGGUAGGAAAUAGGAAUAAUUAAUAAGAAUCUAUUCAUUAAUUUAUCUAUUCCUUUUUUCCUUUUGCAGCGUAUUUAUAUCUUCACUAUCUUCAAAGCUGUCAAGAAAUAUUGAAGACAUCUCUCAUGUAUGAAUUCUCAAUUCUUUUAUUUAUAAAAACUUUUAAACUUAUUAAAUAUGAUAAAUGUUUAAUAUUUCUUUUUUUUUACUUUGUUAUUAGUUAAUAUAACAUUCUUAGAAAAUUCGUAAAUAAAUAUAAGAAUAAUUAAUGAUUAUAAAAGUUGUGUUCUCAUGUCAUAUUAAUAAAGGUUCAUAAGUGUUAGAAAACACUCUAAAAAUCAUUAAAAGUGACUUUUUAUAAUUAUAAUUAUAAUUACUAUGUUUUACAGUAAGUUGUGCGAAUUUGAAAAAAAUUCACGACCGCGAUACCCGCAGUGACCGCAAUAGCGUCCAUUAUGUCCACGACCGCGACAAACGCGACGCGACCGAAAACACGACCGCGACCGCAAUUUAAAUCCCUGGUUGGAAUUCCUCCGUAGUAUUACCAUUCCACAUGAUCUGCAUAGACACAGUAGAAACACAGUUCAUAAUAACAUUUGAUAAGGACGAAGGAAUACCUGUAUCCAAUAAAGUGUUUGCAAUAAAGUCCCACCGAAUCCUGUCAUAGGCUUUCUCGAAAUCCACCUUAAUAGCCAUCCAACUCUUCUUGCCUUUCUUAGUUCGUAUAGAGUGAACUAUCUCUUGGGCAAUGAUAAUGUUGUCAGUUAUCUAUCUUCCUGCAACAAAACUUACUUGAUUCUGAGCAAUGAGAAGAGGGAAAACAAGUUUGAAUCAAUUGGCUAUUACCUUUGUUACAAUCUUAUACUAGACAUUACAGAGGCUAAUUGGCCGGUAUUGGGAUAAGGACUCCGGAUUAUAAGUUUUCGGAAUAAGGACCAACAAUGUCUUGUCUAUCGAAUGAUCGAGAGGAGACCCUGAGAACUCACUUCGAACCCAACUGCAAACAUAAAAACCAACAAUACUCCAUUGACUCUAAUAGAAUAACGCAUGAAGCUUAUUCGGUCCCGAGGCAUUCAAGGGACCCAUGCUAAAAAGAGCAUUGCAAAUUUCCUCAUCUGACACAUCCAUAGUCAAUGAAUCAAUAGAAUUUUGCACCAACUUUGAAAACCGACCCCGCAACGGAAACAAGAAAUGAGCUUGAUCAUCCAACGAGUAAAGAGAUGAAGAAUAACGAAUUGCUUCCUCCUACAAGAUCACAUCAUCAUAACACCAAGAGUCUCCCACUUUCAAAGUUAAAAUCUUAUUGAAAUUACGCAUUCGGAUCGUUUUAUUAUGGAAAUAUUUAGUGUUGCGAUCACCAAACUAGGCCUAAUCCACUCUCGACUUUUGUCUCCUUAGGCUUUCUUCUUCAUCCAAGACCGUUUCAUACUCAAUCCACAAGUCGUGUUCCCGAUUCAAAAAGAAAAUAGAAGACCUCCUAUCUGGAGCAGCUUGAACCUUAGCAAUACGAUUAGCUAGAAGCCUUUUCCUAUGACCAAUGUGACCAUAAAUCUCAAAGUUCCACUUUCUGAAAACCUCCAUCAAAGAGGCAAGAUUGUGUGCAAUAUUUGGCCCAAACCUCCAUUUUUCUCGAACAAGUUGAUCAAAAUUCGGAUUAUUAAUCCAAGAAGCCAAGAAAUGGAAUGGCCUUACACAACGAACAGAACUAGGAUUAGUCAUAGAAAUGGGAAUAGGCCUAUGAUCUGACUUCAGCCGUGGAAGGUGAAACACCAAGGCAUCAGAAAAGGUAUGACACCACUCACCAUUACCAAUGGCUCGAUCCAAUCGAAUAUGUUUUAAUAUUGAAUGAUAAUGAAUUUUUAUUUAAAUUUAAUUAAAUUAUUUGAAUAUGUUUUAUUUUUUUCAUUAUUAUUUUUAAAAUUGUAAAAUUUGAUUUAGACGGAUAUGAUUUUUUUUUUACGAAACGGGUUGUGAGGUGGAAUUAAUGUGUAUUAAUUCCAUAGAUUUUAUAUUUAUUUAUUUUGAAUGGAUAUUUUUUAAUUAAAACCUAAAGUAAAGUGAGACGAUUCUAAUCAUUUAUAUGUAAAUAUUAUAUAAUAAGAUGUACUUAAAAAAUAUUAUGUACUAUGAUAAAUGUAGAUUUAUUCAUGGAUCGGACUAUUCGGCCCGGUCUAAAGGGCCACCUAAAAAUUGGAAAGAUUUGGAUAAAAAUAUAAAUUCAAAAAAUGGGCUUAGUAAAAAUAUAUAUAUAUUGUAGAAGCCCAAAUUUGCCCGGGCCCUAACAGCAAAACAAAUUUCAGCCCAAAUGGCCCAGUUACAUUAUAAAAUUAAUUGGACCAGCCCAAACACCAACCCACAAGCCCAAUUACAACCCAAACCCGAGGCCCAAAUCUGGAGCCCAAUUCCCCCCAAAAACCCAACUAGGGUUUCAGAAAAAUGAAACCCUAGCCAAACCUAGCGCCGCAUCCAUCCCUCUGUCGUUCGCCUUGUCCCAUCGCCACCUACCGUGCCUAGCUUCAUCAACACCUGCAAAAUGGCAGAAAAAGCCGGAGCACGCAACAGAUAGUGCAAAAACAAUAGAAUACAACCAGAAAAAAAUACAAUGUAAAUUGGCUAUAAAAGCCAAACAAUAUCUCUGUACAAGGUUUUUUUUUUAGACAGCGUUUUUGAAUCCAAAAAAAAAAGAAAAACAGAUCAAAAGGUUGACUCCAAUUUAUUCUUCUCUGUUCUUGUUUCUUAUUUACUUUACUCUUUAUUUAUUGUUUAUUUUUUUCGCAUUCGUUCAACAAAGAAAAAGGAAUUGAAAGGGAGAGGAGAAAAUACCUUACCGCUUCGACGGGCUGGUGUCGGAACCCCACCCUUGCCGUCGUCGGAUUCGAGCCGAAAGGGGCGUCUCAUCCCUUUUCCUUUUGGUCUUGCGGUUGAGAAGGCUUAGCCUUCGGGGACGCCGCAAAAAUGGGAGGCUUAGGGGCCUUUCUCGCGCAACUCCGGCCAUUGGCCAUGGAGGCGGAGAUGGCGGCCUGAGCUUAAAGGGCCGAGAGAGAUGUAGGGAGGAGAGCACUCGGGCUCUCAGUUUUCCUUUUUUUUUGUUUUUUUUUUAUUUUUUGAUUGUUUAGAAAAUGAAAUGGAGGCUGCCAGAUUAGGGUUCUUUUUGGCCCUUGCUUGAUGUGUGAAACGACGCCGUUUGGAGUCUGAUCAGUGGCUCCAAAACGGCGUCGUAUUGAGCUCUGACCCGCGCGGUGACCCGACCUAGGGGAAGGAUCCGCGUGUUUUCUUUAAAUGGGAUAUUUGCGCGCGUAGUCCCUCCGACUUUGUAGCGCGUUGCAAUCUGGUCCUAUUUCGCUAUUUCCUAUUUUUCAAUGUAGCCCCAGAAUUCUAUUUUUGUUCUAAUUUGACCCUCUACUGCACUGUGUUUUGGGGCUUCGGGGUAUUUACCAUUUUGGUCCCCCUUUUUUUGCGCAUAUUACAUUUUGAUCCUUUAUUCUGUUUUAUUUUUUAUUUCAGCCCUGAGAUUUCGUUCACGUUUUGAAUUAGUCCUAUUAUUAUUAUUACUAUUAUUAUUAUUACCUAUUUAUUUAUAUUGAUUUUAUUUAAACUUCUGGUACAUAUAUAUAUAUUUAUAUAUUUUACAACUUAUGUACCUAUAUAUAUAUCUAUAUACAUAUUUUCAUUUUCAUAAAUACAUACAUAUUUAUAUAUAAUCUUUAUAGUCUAAAAUACACCUUUUUUAUAUUUUUUUUAAAUCCGCAUAUACAUACACAUUUUCAAUAUAUGUUUAGUAUGUAUAUAAAUUAACGUAUUUAUUUGUAUACAUAUGUAUAUUUUCAUUAGUUUUAAACUUUAGUUUGUACAUAUAUACUUUUUCUUUUAUUUUACAAUAUAUAUACACUUACUUUUUAUAUGUAUUCCUUUAUCUUCGUAUUCCAUAGUUUUAUACACCUAUAUGUACAUAUUUUUAUAUAUACGCAUAUUUAUUUAUCUUAUAUAAAAUAUACCUUAUAUGUUUUGUUAAUUCACGUAUACACAUAUUUUUGUUCAUGUCUAUAUAUAUCUUUUUAUACUUAAUUGUAUUUGCUAUUUAUUUAUUUCAUUUUUGUUAUUAUUUUGAAUGAAUGAUUUAACUUUAUUCGUUCUUUAUUUUGUUAUUUUGUAUGUUGUAAGCUUGAUCGUUCAUAUUGAUUGCUAUAGCUUGCAUCGUUUUUAUAUUUUCAUGUUCAUUAUGAUUUUGCCAUGCAUAAAUAAUGUAAUUUGCUUUCACUAUAAUUUUGUGCUUUAUUUUUACUCGAUAUAACAAAAUUUAUUUUUUUUUAAAAUGGCAUUUCGUGUUUGGAUUCGAGAAAAUCGUGCCCUAACUUACUGGGUUUCGAUUUUCUCGAUAAAUCUAAAUGUACGAAUCUUUUUAAACUCAAAUUUUAGAUGACCUCGGGAUUAAAAAAUCACGUCCUAACUUACUGGUCGUGAUCUCAUUUUUAAAUCCGAGAUGGCUAAAAUAUCUUUUAAAUAAGCAUUUUUCAUUCGCGUAUCGAGAAUUUGAGAUAUUGUAUUCUAACUUACUGGAUAUGAUUCUCUUUCUCGAUUAACGUGAAAUAUAUUUCUUUUUCCAAAAAAUUUCAUUUUAAUACAAGGAUCGUAUUUUUAAUUCUUUCAAGUUCUCAAUUUUCGACAUCAAGACAUUAGAUAAUCAACUAGGUACCAAUUUCUGGGCGUUACGAGGGUGCUAAUCCUUCCUCGUACGUAACCGACUCCCGAACCCGUUUUCUAAAUUUCGUAGACCAAAACCGUUGUUUUAAUAAAAUCAAAUUAUUUAUUAAAAACAACCUUUUUCCAAGGUGACCCAAUCACACCUCAAAAAGGAUUGGUGGCGACUCCCUUUUUUAUUUUCAAAACCCAAGUCGACCCCGUUUUUCAAUCAAAAAAAUGGUGUCAACAUAUAUAUAUACGUUCUUAUGCAUUGGCAACAAUGUCUAUGACAAUUGAGCUAAGACUCAACCGACUAAUUCCAUAAAUUUUAUAUUUAUUAAUUUUGAAUAGAUAAUUUUCUAAACUAAAACCGUAAUGCUAAAGUAAAGCGAGAUGAUUCUGAUAAUUUAUAUGUAAAUAUUAUAGUUACAUGCAAAUAUUAUAUAAUAAGAUGUACUAAAAAAUAUUAUAUACCAUGAUAAAUGGUCGGUAAGUUGGAGAUGAAUAUAAGACUAUAAAGGUAAAAUUGUUAGUUAAGCUCCUAUACAUAGGGGAAGAUUGCAUUUCAACCCUUUUAUUGAAAAAAUGAGCAAACUAGUCUUUAUAUAUUUCGAAACAUACAAAUUAGCUUAUCCGUUUCUUUUUGUAUCAAGACUUAAUCAUAGACUGGGUCAUUCGGUCCAACUCAAAGGCAUGUCCAAAAAGUUCAGACUCUUCAGAAUUAAUAAAAGCACAAGUUAGAUAUAUGAUAAAGUUAUAAUUUAACCCCAAAAUUGUUAAAACUUCAAUUUAAUCAUUUUAAAUACCAUAAAAUAUAAUUAAAUAAGUAUUUUAACUCUCAUAAAAAAAAUUUUUAAUCUCGCCGUGCAUUUAUCUAAUUACAUACUAGUUAUUAGUUUGUUAUUUUCAUCUUAUUCAUUGCUAUUAGUUGAAUAAAUCGAAAAGUAAACGCAUAAACACAAAAUAUUAUUCAAAGCUCCAUUUUAUUCAAAUUUUUUCAGUAUUCAUCACAUGUUUCUUUCAAAAAGAAUAAAAUAAAACAUUCGUUCACAUGUUCAUUUUUCAUAUAUGUAGCUUAUUGUAGCAUGUAAGAAAACAAAGAAACAAUGGAGGCCCCAACCAAUGAUCCAAGAACAGGCAAGGUUGUGGCAGCCAUGCUGGAAUCCGGUCCUGAUGCUGGAGCGGAACCAGGAGAGGAGCUAGGACUAGAACCACCGGCUGAAGGGGCAGGAGAUGGAGCACCGGCAGCCAUGACGGCGCUCAUUGAGGCGGCAGCAACAAUGAUGGCGGUGGAGACCUUCUUCAUGUCCAUGGCGUAUAAAGUGAUUAUUAAACGCACUGGAAAUGAAUGAGACCUGCGUUUAAUUACAGGGAUCCGCCGGUGAUUGUUAUUAUUUGCUUUGUUAUAUCAGGUCUGAAGAACAAUGAUGGUGGGGAGGAUCUUUUAUAGGUGAAAAUUCAUGGCUAUUUUUAGUGGCGAAAUUUUUUUUUUAAAUUACGUGUUUGGUUCUCGCAUGGUUUGCGGGAUAGACAUGCAAAUUUUUUAAAUAUUUUUUAAACGAUUUUGACUGGAUUUUUUAGAUAGGGGGAUUUUAAUAUUUUUUUAAGAGAAAGAGAGUAGUAAAUUAACUGUAAUUACAUCAACAUCAUCUUGCAAAUUAUUUAGAAUGGAAGUAUCAAUUGUUGGGGAGAAAAAACAAAUUAAUGGAGACCCAAUUAUAGUCAAAUAUCAUUUCAGCUAAAGCAUUAGUCACUCCAUUAGAUUUCCUUAAAUAUGCUUGAUGUGAACCGCGCAAAGCUCUUUUAUUCUGCAUACUAGUUCCCUUUUCACUCACCAUUAAUUGCUUGAACUAUAGUUAAACAAUCACAUUCUAAAACAAUCAAUUUCCACCCUUUAGACCAAAGCAAUUUAAGUCCACCAUAGAUUGGCCAAGGUUCUGCUUGUUAAACACUACAUUUUCCAAUAUUAUGAUCAUAGCCAAAUAUCCAUCUACCAUGGUUGUCUCUAGCAAACUCAGCUGAGCAGGCAAGUUUGGUAUAAAGUUUCCCUACACCGUCUGUGUUCAUUUUGACGCAAUCAAUUAUUGGUUGCUGCCAGGUGUUUGGUUUGAUUCAAUUUUUAACCUUAAUCAUUGGUUCCCUAUUAUGUUUAACAUUCACAACCCAACUCCAAGCCGAUCUUACAAGCAUACUAGAAUUAUGAGGAACAUUUUCAAAAACAAAAGAAAUAUUCCUUUGUUUCCAUACAAACUAGCAUAGUAUACCUAACAGGUGAUUCAAUUAAAAUCUUUGAAAUGUAAAUUUAGUUUAUUAGAAAGGUUGAAAUUCACCCAAGAUAAAAGUGACGGACAUAAGAACUUGGAGUAAAAUGAAUUCGGAAUGAACUACAUCCAUACUUCCUCAGCUUUGGAACAAUCAUUAAGUAUAUGAAAAAAAUUUAUUCUACAAAUCCAAAAAUGCAGCAACUGGCGUCAUCCGUCAAUCCGCGUCUUUCCAUACUAAUAUAUUUUAAUAGUAAAAUAGACCACAAAAUUAACUUGAGUCAAUUUGAAGUUUUUUUAAAAAUUCAGAAAAUACAAUUAUAAAACAAUUAUAAAUAUAUGUCCAAUCAAUUAUAGUAUAGAAUUCAAUUAAUUACAACUAUAAAAUAAAUACAAAUAUAUUUAAACACCCUUUUGUCUUCAUUCCUAUCUUCACCCUCUUUAGUGGUAGGAGGCAAAAGGAGGGGGUUGAUAAGGGCUUUACACCCUCUCUUAAAUGGGUUUAGACUCUCCAAAAUUCAUAAAAACAUAAGUUAAAUAUAAGGUAAACUGUAAAAAUAAUCACUUUUGUUUGUAUUAGAUUAUAUUUUAGUCAUUUAUAUUUGAAAUGUUACGUUUUAGUCAUUUACAUUAUCAUUUUGUUACGAAGUAGUGACUCUGCCGUUCAGCUCCGUUACCUCCCUAAAGACAAUCCUAUGUGGGAUAGUCACUUUUGUUUGUCUUAUAAUACAUUUUAGUCACUUCUAUUUGAAAUGUUAUGUUUUAGUCACUUGUAUUAUCGUUUUGUUACGAAGUAGUCACCGUGUCAUUCAUCUCCGUUACCUUCCUAACAACAAUCCUAGAUGGCAGUCUAAAUUGGUUUUAAAUGCCAACUUGGAUGUCCAACUGGGAUGAGAAUAGUUUUUGUUAAGACGAACGGUUUUUGUUUUCCAAUUCAAGGUGUAAUUAAUUUAAAAUUUACAAUUAAUUAAAUUUAGUUAAUUAAAAACCUAUUCUCGUACCAAUUAGGCAUCCAAGUUGACAUUUAAAAUCGAUUUGGACUACCACUUAGGAUUGCCGUUAGAGUGACCACUUUCUAACAAACGAUAACGUAACAUUUCAAAUAUAAGUGACUAAAAUGUAACCUAAGGCAAAUAAAAGUGACUAUUUUUAUAAUUUACCCAGUCUAAAUUGGUUUUAAAUGCCAACUUGGAUGUCCAACUGGGAUGAGAAUAGUUUUUGUUAAGACGAACGGUUUUUGUUUUCCAAUUCAAGGUGUAAUUAAUUUAAAAUUUACAAUUAAUUAAAUUUAGUUAAUUAAAAACCUAUUCUCGUACCAAUUAGGCAUCCAAGUUGGCAUUUAAAAUCGAUUUGGACUACCACUUAGGAUUGCCGUUAGAGUGACCACUUUCUAACAAACGAUAACGUAACAUUUCAAAUAUAAGUGACUAAAAUGUAACCUAAGGCAAAUAAAAGUGACUAUUUUUAUAAUUUACCCUUAAAUAUAUGAUAAAUUAUAAGUUAACCCCAAAAUUGCUAAGUUUUCAAUUUAAUCAUUUUAAAUACCAUAAAAUAUAAUUAAAUACGUAUUUUAACUCUAAUAAAAUAUAUACUUUAACCUUUAUUUCCCUAAAAAAAAAAUUUCCAACUUCCCCCUGCAUUUAUCUAUUUACAUACCAUUUAUUAGUUCAAUAAUUCAUUGUUAUUUUCAUGUUAUUAGUUGAAUAAAUCGAAAAGUAAAAGCAUAAAAACAAAAUACUUUUCAAAGCUCCAUUUCAAUUUUUUCAAUAUUCAUCACAUGUUUCUUACAAAAAAUAAUAAAUAAAAUAAAAUAUUCGUUCACAUGUUCAUUUUUGAUACAUGUAGCUUACUGCAGCAUGUAAGAAAACAAAGAAACAAUGGAAGCCCCAACCAAUGAUCCAAGAACAGGCAAGGUUGCGGCAGCCACGCUGGAAUCUGGUGCUGAUGCUGUGACGGAAGCAGGAGAGGAGCUAGGACUAGAACCACCGGCGGAAGGGGAAGGAGCAGGUGCACCGGCAGCCAUGACGGCGCUCAUUGAGGCAGCAGCAACAAUGAUGGCGGUGGAGACCUUCUUCAUGUCCAUGGCGUAUAAAGGGAUUAUUAAACGCACCGGAAAUGAACGAGACCUGCGUUUAAUUGCUGGAGAAUGGGGAUCCGCCGGUGAUUGUUAUUAUUUGCUUUGUUAUUGCAGGUCUGAAGAAGAAUGGUGUUGGGGAGGAUUAUUUAUAGGUGAAAAUUCAUGGCUAUUUUUAGUGACGAAAUUUUAAAAAAAAAAUUUACGUGUUUGGUUUUUGCAUGGUUUGCGGGAUAGACAUGCAAAUUUUUGAAUUUGUUUUAGCGAUUUUGACUGGAUUUUAUGGUUAGGGGAUUUUAUUAUUAUUAUUUUUUGGUAAGAGAAAGAGGAGUAGUAAAUUACAGAAUAAUAAUUACCUCAAUCAAUAUCAUUUUGUAAAUUAUUCAGAAUGGAAAUAUCUAUUUGUUGAGGGAUAAAGAUCAAUAAAUUCAUGUUGAUCCAAUUGAUAGUUAAACAUCAUUAUCAAUACAGGAGGAUGUGAGUUCGAGCGGGUUUAUCCUUCUAUUGAAAAGCUUGGAUGAGUUAUGGGUAGUUCUAAGCAUUGUAUCAACUUAUACUUUCACGGUUGAAUUAGAUUAUAAAAAAAAGGUACUAAGUAAGCUCCUGUAUUUAGGGUGUAUUGCAUUUCAGCCCUUUUACUAAAAUAGUGGCUAAAUUAGCCUUUAUGUAUUUCGAAACGUACAAAUUGGAUCAUCCUUUAAAUUUUAUCUAUUAAAUGAUGAUGUGGAACGUUAAAUCUAUGCUGAAAAUUAUUUUUUUAUAGGUAAACUAUAAAAAUGAUCCGUUAACUAUGUCUUUCGUUGUAUUCUAUUUUGGUCACCCACUUAUUAUUUUUUGUUUUGUUCAUAUCAAAUUAAUUAAUUUUUUAUUUCUUGAUUCAACCUAAAACUAUAUGGUUCUACAUUUUAAAAACAUUGAUUAAUAAUGACUAAGAAUUUUUCAUAAAUAAGACAUAUAAAAUAAAUUUUUGAAAAUUUUAUAUUUACAAAGAUGAAAAUCAAUCAAAACAUAGGAAAAAAAAACCCAAUUUCUUGUUUAAAAAAUCCAAUAAAAAUUUUAAAUAUAUAUUUAGAGAAAUAUGUUUUUAUUUAAUUUUAAAUAAUUUUUUUACAGCUUUUGUCUUGUUAGCUAUUAUUAAAUAAUCGAAUCAAUUUACUAUUUAAUCAAUUCAACCAACCAAUCUAAUGAAAUUUGAAGAAUUUGGUUUCUCAAGGUGGAUAUACACUUCAGUUCAAUUACUAUUUAUCAAUUGGGUCCUUAUUGGCUAAAAAUGAAUUUCUUUUAUACAAACAUAUAUUUAAAUUUUUAGAGGUAGGACUAAAUUGAUAGAUUUUAUAAAUAUUGAGGGUCAAAUUUAUUAUUUUUUUAAAAUUAUAAUUAAAAAAAUAAAUUUUGUAAACAUUGAGGACUAAAUUUGUUUAAUUUUUAUAUUUAAGAUCAAAUCGAUAGAAUGUAUAAAUAUUAGAGAGCUAAUUUUAUUACUAGACCAAUAAAAUAAGCCCACAUUUAUCUGAUUACAUACUAAUUAGUUCAAUAAUUCAUUGUUAUUUUCAUGUUAUUCAUUGUUUUGAAUAAAUGGAAAAGUAAAAGCAUAAACACAACAUACUUUCCAAAGCUCCAUUUCAAUUUUUUUCAUUAUUCAUCACAUGUUUCUUUCAAACAAUAAAAAAUAUAAUAUAAAAUAUAAUAUUCGUUCACAUGUUGAUUUUUCAUACAUGUAGCAUGUAAGAAAACAAAGAAACAAUGGAAGCCCCAACCAAUGAUCCAAGAACUGGCAAGGCUGUGGCAGCCACGCUGGAGUCUGGUCCUGAUGCUGGGGCAGAACCGGGAGAGGAGCUAGGAAUAGAACCACCGGCGGAAGGGGAGGGAGCAGGUGCAUCGGCAGCCAUGACGGCGCUAAUUGAGGCGGCAGCAACAAUGAUGGCGGUGGAGACCUUCUUCAUGUCCAUGGCGUAUAAAGGGAUUAAUAUUAAACGCACCAGAAAUGAACGAGACCUGCGUUUAAUUGCUGGAGAAUGGGGAUCCGCCGGUGAUUGUUAUUAUUUGCUUUGUUAUUGCAGGUCUGAAGAACAAUGAUGUUGGGGAGGAUCUUUUAUAGGUGAAAAUUCAUGGCUAUUUUUAGUGAUGAAUUUUUUUUUUAAAAUUACGUGUUUGGUUUUUGCAUGAUUUGCGGGAUAGACAUGCAAAUUUUUUAAUAUUUUUUAACGAUUUUUAGAUAAUGAGAUUUUAAAUUUUAAGAUUAAAUGAUAAUGAAUUUUUAUUUAAAUUUAAUUAAAUUAUUUGAAUAUGUUUUUUUCAUUAUUAUUUUUAAAAUUAUAAAUUUGAUUUCGACGGAUAUGAUUCUUUUACGAAACCUUAAUGGUAAAGUAAAGUGAGAGAUUCUAAAAAUUUAUAUGUAAAUAAUAUAUAAUAAGAUGUACAAUGAUAAAUGGUUGGAUGGUAAGUUUUUAUUGGGAUGAAUAUAAGACUAUGAAGGUAAAAUUAUUAGUUUAAGUUUCCGUAUUUGGGGAAGAUUGCAUUUUGGUCUUUUUAUUAAAAAAUGAGUAUAUUAGUCUUUAUAUAUUUCGAAAUGUACAAAUUAGCUCAUUAUGUUGAAAAUUAUCUUUUACGGGUAUAUAAAAAUUGUCACCCAAUCAUGUCUAUUGUUCUAUUUUGGUUACCCAACUAAAAAUUCAUUUGGAUUUAAGUUUACCUUGAACGUGGCACGAUUUGGCACUUUAUUGCCCAAUCAUGCUCAACUCAAUCACUUGGAUGCAUAAAUGGGAUUCAACUUCAUUGCACAGAGGCUUUACUUUUUCAUUGGAGGAUUACAACCCCACCAACUUUUUCUUUCCUUUUGUAUCUAAACCUAAUUAUGGGUCGAGUCACCUGGCUCGAAGACCCACUCGAAAAGUGAAAGGAUUUGUGCAAAAAUAUAGGCUCGAAAAAUGAGUUUAGGCAAAAAAAAAUAGGCCUGAUUUCUAAACGAGUCAGGCAUUGGGUAAACUUUUUUUGGCCUGGUCGAAUUUGUAAAAAAAACCUACUGCUUUUUGCUGCUAUUUUCACUGUUUUUGUUGUUGUUUUGCCACUAUUUUUGUGGCGUUUUGCUAUUAUAUUGCUAUUAUUUUGUUGUUAUUAAUUGAAUAUUGUAUAACUCUUAUUUUAUUGUAUUUGAUGUAUUAUUCUUUUUGAAUUUAUUUUUAUAUAAAAAUAAUAAUAUAAAAAAUUUUAAUACAGACAGCCCGCGCCAGACUCGGGUUUUAGCAUUUUUAUUCAGGUCAAAUUUGGGCAAAAUUUGCCCAGUUUUCAGGUCGGGUUGAAUCCAAGCACAUACUCAAUUGUUAUUUUUAACCUCAUCGGAACUAAACAAACUAAACCUUGUCAGAUACAUAAAUCAUACAGGGUUAGCAAGGCCUCGGCCUCCCCUAAAAUGAAAACUUUUUUAUUUAGGCCCCUUUGUAAUUUAUAAAAUUUUAAAUUAACAAUAAUAAAAUAGUGAAAUUACAGUUUUACUAUCAUAAAAAUAUAAAACAAUUUUAUUUGUUGGUCUAAAAUUUUAUACAUAUUAGAAUUACAAAAGGAUGAAAUUGUUACAUGCUGGUUAUUAGUUCAAUAAUUUAAUGUUAUUUUCAUGUUUAAAACUUAAAAAGUUAAUUCAACUACUUUAAUUUAUCGUAAUUUUAAUUUCGGAAAUCAAAACGUAAAACAUAAACACAAAAUAUUAUUCAAAGCUCCAUUUUAUUCAAUUUUAUUCAAUAUUCAUCACAUGUUUCUUUCAAAAAAAAAUAAAAUAAUAUAUUCGUUGACAUGUUCAGUUUUGAUACAUGUAGCUUACUGCAGCAUGUAAGAAAACAAAGAAACAAUGGAAGCCCCAACCAAUGAUCCAAGAACUGGCAAGGCUGCGGCAGCCACGCUGGAAUCCGGUCCUGAUGCUGGGGUGGAACCAGGAGAGGAGCUAGGACUCGAACCACCGGCGGAAGGGGCAGGAGAUGGUGCACCAGCGGCCAUGACGGCGCUCAUUGAGGCAGCGGCAACAAUGAUGGCGGUGGAGAUCUUCUUCAUGUCCAUGGCGUUAUAAAAAAGGGAUUAUUAAACGCACCGGAAAUGAAUGAGACCUGCGUUUAAUUACUAGAGAAUGGGGAUCCGCCGGUGAUUGUUAUUAUUUGCUCUGUUAUUGCAGGUCUGAAGAAGAAUGAUGUUGGGGAGGAUCAUUUAUGGUGAAAAUUCAUGGCUAUUUUUAGUGACGAAAUUAAAAAAAAAGAAAAAAAGAAAUACGUGUUUGGUUUUCGCAUGGUUUGCGGGAUAGACAUGCAAAAUUUUGAAUUUUCUUUAACGAUUUUGACUGGAUUUUUAGGCUAGGGAAUUUAAUUUUUUAAGAGAGAAGAGUACUAAAUUAGAGAAAAAUAAUUAAAUCAAUAUCAUCUUGUAAAUUAUUCAGAAUGGAAGUAUCAAUUUGUUGGGGAGAAGAAGUAAAUUCAUGGAGACUCAAUUGAUAGUCAAACAUCAUACCAACUAAGGCAUUAGUCGCUCCAUUAGAUUCCUUAUAAAUAUGCUCGAUUCAAACACCUAUGUUCGAGCGUAAAGCUCUUUUAUUCUGCAUACCAGUGCCUUGUUCAAUACGCCUUUAUAUUCAUCAUUGAUUGCUUGAAUUGCAAUUAAACAAUCACAUUCCAAAACAACAAGUUUUCACCCUUCAAACCAAAUCAGUUUAAGUCCACUAUAGAUUGCCCAAAGUUCUGCUUGUUCAAUACUACAUUUCUCAAUAUUGUGACCGUAGCCAAAUAUCCAUCUGCCAUGGUUGUCUCUAACAAUCCCAACUGAGCAGGCAAGUCCAGUAUGAGGUUUCCUUACACCGUCUGUGUUCAUUUUGACACAACUAGCUAUUAGUGAGUGCCAGGUGCUUGGUCUGAUUCGGUUUUUAACCUUAAUCUUUGGUUCCCUAUUAUGUUUAACAUUCACAACCCAACUCCAAGCCAAUCCUACAACCAUACCAGAAUUACGAGGAACAUUUUCAAAAACAAAAGAAUUCCUUUGUUUCCAUACAAACCGACAUAGGAUACCGAAUAGGGUGUUCCAAUUAACAUCUUUGAAUUGUAAAUUCGGUUCAUUAGAAAGAUUGACAUUCACUCAAGAUAAAAGUGACGGAGAUAAGAACCUGGAGUAGAAUGAAUCCAGAAUGAACUGCUUCCAUACUUCUUGAGCUUAGAAUAUUUUCUUCUGCAGAUCCAAAAUGCAGCAACUAGUGUCAUCCGUCAGUCUGCGUCUGCAUCUUUCCACGUUUGAGAGGAGUCGCUUGUUGUUCCAAUAGGGUCGGAAGCGUGUAAAUUAUUGUACUAAAAAAUCACACAAAGUUCAAUUCCCAGGGAAGAGAGGUGGAUCACAAGGAUCUCUUAAAUACCAAGUCUUUCCUUAGUCAGAAUAUUCCUUCUAACGUAAUUUAAUAGCACAAUUAAAUACUACUAUUAUACCCUCAAAUAUUGAAAGAAAAAUAGGACAAAAAGAACACAAGAGUUUUAACGAGGUUCGGUAAAUUAUACCUACGUCCUCGGGCACUAACACCAGAUGAUAACUUUACUAUCUCCAAAAUAUUACAAACAAAUAGAAUUCCUUAAGAAUUCUCAAAUGGGAGAAGAGAGAAAACUAAGAGAGAAAGAUUGGUUGGGAUGGUUGAAAUGAGAAAUGGUUAGGCCUAUUUAUAGUUGAAGUUCAGGGACUAACUUGCAAAUGACCUAAAAAAUUAGGGACCAAAAUUGCAAUUAUCCCUUUCAACUUUAAACAACUUGCCAACUAUUUUUUUUCUUUCGGUGCCAAUUGCACCUCCCACCAUUUUUGACUUUUCAACCCCUUUUUAAUUUAACUUAUCAACAAUCUCCACCUUGAAGAUUUGAUUAGGAUAAUCACAUCUUCACACACUUCCUUCAACUCCCCAAAUUUGAUAAAGCUAUCUUUUGUAGUGCCUCCAAAUGCGCUCUCGAGCGCCAUACACCUAAAGGUGCUCAAAUUCUCAGGAUGUUAAUCAAGUUCAAACAAUGAUUAAACUUGAUUGUUGUUACCACCUUGGUCAUCAUAUCUGCGGGAUUAUCUGUUGUCGGAAUCUUCUCAAGUAGAAUUUUUCCUUUUUCAAAGACUUCCCACACAAAGUGAUAUCUUACGUCGAUAUGCUUGGUUCUUGAAUGAUAGACUUGAUUUUUCGCUAAAUGAAUAGCGCUUUGACUGUCACAAUAUAGACUAAUGUGACUUUGAACAACUCCCAAGUCUUUCAAUAAUCCAUUAAGCCAAAUAGCCUCCUUAACAGCUUCUGUAACUGCCAUAUAUUCUGCCUCUGUAGUAGACACAGCUACUGUAGACUGUAAGGUAGACUUCCAACUCACUGGGGCUUUCGCAAGAGUAAACAGAUACCCCGUAGUUGAACGACGUUUAUCUAAAUCACCAGCAAAGUCGAAAUCAACAUAUCCAACUACAAACUGACCAAGUGCUUUAUCUUGUUCAAAAAUUAAACCAACAUCUACGGUUUUUCGAAGAUACCGUAGAAUCUAUUUCACAGCUUGCCAAUGUCCUUUUCCAGGAUCAUGCAUAUACCUGCUCACAACUCCAACAGCUUGUGAAAUGUCAGGCCUCGUACACACCAUCGCAUACAUCAAACUCCCAACUGCAUUAGCAUAUGGGACUUUCGCCAUAUAUUCUCUUUCAUCUUCAGUCUUCGGAGAUAAUUGAGCACUAAGUUUCAAAUGAGAAGCAAGUGGGGUACUUACAUGUUUUGUGUUUUCAUUUACACCAAAACAUUGUAAUACCUUUUUCAGAUAUUGCUUCUGAUUUAAACAGAGCUUGCCUCUCGGUCUAUCUCUACUUAUCUCCAUGCCGAGAAUCUUCUUGGCCUCACCUAGAUCUUUCAUCUCGAACUCUUGAUUCAACUGAGCCUUCAGCUUAUCUAUCUCAUUUUGGCUCUUCGAAGCGAUUAACAUAUCAUCAACAUACAAGAGUAGAUAAAUGAAAGAUCCGCCAUGCAGCUUCUGCAAAUACACACAAUUGUCAUAUUUGCUUCUUGUGUACUCCUGCCUUCUCAUAAAGCUAUCAAAUCGCUUGUACCACUGCCUCGGGGAUUGCUUCAAUCCAUAUAGCGAUUUGUUAAGCUUACAAACCCAAUUUCUACCACCAGCAUCUGUGUAUCCUUCUGGCUGAGUCAUAUAGAUCUCCUCUUCUAACUCACCAUGCAAGAAAGCCGUCUUAACAUCAAGUUGAGCUAGCUCCAAAUUCAACUGUGCUACCAAGGCCAACAAAAUUCUAAUGGAGGAAUGCUUCACAACAGGGGAAAAUACAUCAUUGUAGUCAAUUCCCUCCUUCUGAGCGUAGCCUUUAGCUACCAAUCUUGCCUUGUAGCGAAUAUCCUUCUUGCUAGGAGAUCCAUCUUUCUUUGCGAAUACCCACUUGUAUCCGAUUGCCCUUUUACCUUUCGGUAAUUGCGCCAACUCCCAAGUAUUAUUCUUCCGGAGAGACUGCAUUUCUUCAUCCAUGGCGCUUUUCCAUUUAUCACUUUCUAAGCUUUGCAUUGCUUCUUGAUAAGUGAUAGGAAUAUCAUCAACAACGGGAAGGGCGUAGGCCACCAUAUCAGUAAAUCGAGCAGGUUUACGAAUUUCUCUCCGUGGCCUUGCAACUGCAACUGGUUCUGGUGUACUUAGUGGUUCUUGGGUCAGAACCUCUUCAACCUCUAAUUCCUCCAUUGUGGCUGGAGAAUUAGACUUAUUAACUGGGCAAAUCCCCAUCUGCUCAAACUCCACCUGUUUUGGAGUACACUCCACCUGCUGUGGAGUAUUGCUCGUCUGAAUAUCUUUAUCUGCUACCUUUUUCAAUGUGGCAGAUUCAUCAAAGGUAACAUCUCUGCUACAGAUCAUUUUCUUUGUGCUUAAGCACCAAAGACGAAAUCCCUUCACUCCAGAAGUGAUUCCCAUAAAGAGAGCUUUCUUUGCCCUCGGAUCUAACUUUGACUCCUUCACAUGGUAAUAUGCAGUGGUUCCAAACACAUGUAAGGAAUCAUAAUCUGUAGCCGGUUUUCCAGACCAUACCUCCAUAGGAGUUUUUCUUUCUAAUGCAGAUGAUGGCAAACGAUUAACAAGAUGGCCAGCGUAUGUCACAGCCUCAGCCCAAAAUUGCUUGCCCAACCCAGCAUUGGACAACAUACAUCGAACUUUCUCCAGCAAUGUUCGAUUCAUACGCUCUGCCAAUCCAUUCUGCUGUGGUGUAUCCCUAACUGUGAAGUGUCGAAUAAUACCAUACUCUUGGCACACAUCGAAGAACGGAUCACUUUUAUAUUCCCCUCCAUUGUCCGUCCUAAGCCGCUUGAUUUUCUUGCCAGUCUGGUUUUCGAUCAUAGUUUUCCAUUUAAGAAAAACUCCAAGCACUUCAUCUUUAGUUUUCAUGGUAUACACCCAAACUCUUCUGGAAAAGUCAUCAACAAAAGUAACAAAGUAGUGUUUUCCUCCCAAUGAAGGUGUUUUGGAAGGCCCCCACACAUCUGAGUGAAUAUAUUCCAAAAUACCUUUUGUAUUAUGGAUAGCAGUGCCGAAUUUCACUCUCUUUUGCUUUCCCAGAACACAGUGCUCACAAAAUUUUAAUUUGUAAGCCUUUGCACCUUUCAACAAUCCUUGCUUUGCCAGAAUUUGCAAGGAUUUUUCGCUGGCAUGUCCCAACUUCAUAUGCCACAACUGCAUUGAGUCCAAGUCUUUGUUACCGGAAGCUGCAGCGACUGCUCCAAUAACUGUACUACCUUGGUAGUAAUACAAGUUAUUUUUCCUGAUGCCCUUCAAUAUCACAAGUGCGCCAGAUGUCACUUUCAAAACCCCAUCUCUCAUAGUAACAACUGAACCAUUGGAUUCCAAGGCUCCCAAUGAGAUGAGAUUUUUCUUCAAACUGGGCACGUACCGAACAUCAGUCAGAACUCUGGUUGAUCCAUCUUUAUUCUUUAAUUGGAUUGAACCUAUCCCAACAGUUUUACAGGCAUUGUCAUUGCCCAUAUAAACAACUCCUCCAUUUAGUUCUACUAAAUCAGAGAACCACUCCCGGUUAGGGGACAUAUGAUAGGUACAACCCGAAUCUAAUAUCCACUCAUCUGAAUGGAACGACGAUGAUGAUGCAACCAGUGAUAGUUCAGAGUCACUAGUAUCAUGCUUAGCAACACAAGCAUCUACAGCAGCUUUUCCCUUAUUCUUCAGCUUUGGACAAUUUUUCUUCCAGUGGCCUUUCUCAUGACAAAAAGCACAUUCAUCUUUCCCGAGUCUGGACUUUGACUUUGAUCUCCCCUUUUGAGUUUUCUUCCGAGUGUAUGAACGACCUCGGACUAGUAAAGCUUCUGUAUCUCUGAUUGAGUUUUUCUGUUUGUCCUUCUUUCUCUGUUCAUAACUGUAUAAGGCCGCACAGACUUCGCUCAGAGAUAUAUCACUCCUGCCAUGAAGUAGAGUAGUUUCUAGGAACUCAAACUCCUCAGGAAGUGACCCCAACAGCAUCAAAGCCAAAUCUUCAUCUUUGAAUGUCUCAUCCAUAUUCAGCAAAUCAGUGACUAACUGAUUAAAUUUGGUGAUGUGAUCAUUCAUUGUGGUACUUGGGACGUAUGUGAAGCAAAACAGUCUUUUCUUCAAGUGGAGCUUAUUUUGACUGUUUUUCUUCAAAAAUUUUUCUUCAAGUGCCACCCACAACUUAUUUGCAGAAGUCUCCUUUGAAAAAGCAUACCUCUGCUCUCGAGAAAGGCAUGAUCGAAUUGUGCCACAUGCCAACCGAUUGAUCGCCUUCCAAUCUUUCUCCUGUACAUCAUCUGGUUUCUCUUCAUCAAUGGCAAUGUCUAGACCCUGCUGAAAAAGGGCAUCUAGAACCUCACUUUGCCACAUACCAAAAUGGCCCGUGCCAUCAAAGAUCUCCACGGCCAAUCUUGCAUUUGCAAUUGUCGGUCUUGUCCACAUGGACGAUGUUGAAGCUCCUACACCGACCGUUUUCUCCAUAAUCUUUCAAUAUACCUAAGGAAAUCUUUUCUGAUGUGGAAGAUCAGUUUAAACUGCAACCACAGAGCAUACUACGAUUAACCUUCGGCUCUGAUACCACUUGUUGUUCCAAUAGGGUCGGAAGCGUGUAAAUUAUUGUACUAAAAAAUCACACAAAGUUCAAUUCCCAGGGAAGAGAGGUGGAUCACAAGGAUCUCUUAAAUACCAAGUCUUUCCUUAGUCAGAAUAUUCCUUCUAACGUAAUUUAAUAGCACAAUUAAAUACUACUAUUAUACCCUCAAAUAUUGAAAGAAAAAUAGGACAAAAAGAACACAAGAGUUUUAACGAGGUUCGGUAAAUUAUACCUACGUCCUCGGGCACUAACACCAGAUGAUAACUUUACUAUCUCCAAAAUAUUACAAACAAAUAGAAUUCCUUAAGAAUUCUCAAAUGGGAGAAGAGAGAAAACUAAGAGAGAAAGAUUGGUUGGGAUGGUUGAAAUGAGAAAUGGUUAGGCCUAUUUAUAGUUGAAGUUCAGGGACUAACUUGCAAAUGGCCUAAAAAAUUAGGGACCAAAAUUGCAAUUAUCCCUUUCAACUUUAAACAACUUGCCAACUAUUUUUUUUCUUUCGGUGCCAAUUGCACCUCCCACCAUUUUUGACUUUUCAACCCCUUUUUAAUUUAACUUAUCAACAUCGCUCUUAUAAAAUUAGCCAUAAAAAUUGUCGAACACAUUGCGAACCACCAUAGGACCAAGAAAGUUCCCAUUUAUUGUCCGAACUAUUCCAGGAAUCAUGAGAUAAGAAAGUAUAGGCUAUUUUAACAGUUAAGUCUCCAUUCAUAGACCAUUUAGAUACUAAUGAAUUCGAUCCAGCAAGUGCACGAGGGGGUAGAACACCAGCUUUUUUGUCAAAAAAAGGUUCGUCCAAAUGAUUUCUAAUAUACCUCCAAUUCCAUUCACCGUCAUUUCUAACCAAAUCUUAGAGGAUGGGAUUAUCAUCUCGAGCCAUAUUAUUCGGAUCAUGAAGUAUCAAAGGACCUACCUCAGGAAUCCAAUCAUCAACCCAAAAUUUGACUGAAUUCCCAUCUCCUAUGGACCAACAGAGGCUAUCUCGUAAGAGAGGUCAAACUUUUGCAAUGGACUUCCAUACAAAAGAGCUUAUGUUGCACGUAAUUACCAAUGGACAUACCUCCUGAAAUUUGUAUUUAUCUCUUAUCACUUGAACCCAUAAAGCAUUCUUGUUAGUACUGAAAUUAAAGCCCAACUUUAAGAGGAAAGACUCAUUUUACUGCCUUAAAUGUCAAAGACCCAGUCCUCCAUUAGCCCGAGGUUGGUAAUAGUUAUCCCAUUGCACUAAUGUUGGUUUAGAUCUUAAGGAAGAACUCCCCCAAAUAAAACUCAUUGAAAUACUAGGUAUCAAAGUUGUUUUGUAACAACCUAUUUUCAAUGGUACAAAAAAUGAUAGUUUUAAAAUUCCAUUUUCUGAGGACUAAGUCAGCAAAUAUUAUUUAAUAAUAUUUAUGAAUGGUUUAUAUUAUUAUAAUGGUUAUUAGUUCAGAAAUUUUAUUGAUUGAUUAGUAAUUAGUAUAGAGACUAAAUGUAAAAACUGUAAAAGUUGAAUUUAAGUGGAUUGUUUAAUUAGUUGAGUAUGAUUUAAUUAUUGGAGGAUUUGUUUGACAAUAAGCCAAUUUUGGACAUAAUGGCUUGCCAUGGAAUUAGUUUAGUUGAAAUUUUAUAUUGAUUUUUAGUUAAAAAACAUAAAAAUUAAAAGGUUUAAAAUAAUAAAACAUGGAAAGUGCCAUCAUCUUCCUCAUUUUUCUUAUUCUCCUACGAAAACAACAUUUUUGGAGCUAGGAGAGUUCAGCCAUUUCACAACCUUCCAUGUAGGUAUAUUUGAGCUUGGUUUUUUGUAAAUUUUAUAUUUUUGUAAUCGUUGUAACUUAAAUCUAGCUAUAUUGUACCUCCGUUUUUAAAACUGUUAAAGAUUUUAAAUGCCACCAUUAGAGAUAAUUGAAGCUUUUGGUUGUUAAAAUGGUGCUUUAAAAACUUAGGAAUGGAAAAAUGAUUAAAUUGUGAAGCUAAUUGUUAGUUUUGAGUUUAGGGACUAAAUUAUGAAUAAAUUGAAAUUGUUAUAUUUUUUUGUAAAUUGUGGUAAUAGGAGGCUGUAUAGGGACAUAUUUGAAGUGGGUUUAAAUUUUGGAGUUUAAAUUCGGAAGAUAUGAUAAGUUUGGUUUUAGGGACUAAAUUGAUUAAAAUGAAAAACUUUAGGGGAAUUUGGAUAAUAAAAUUGAGCUGAUUUAUGCUUAUAAUAGGGUGAAAUAAGAGGAUUGAAAUUGAUAAAUUGAAUUGAACAAUUGUAUAGCUAAAAAAUUAGACCAAAUCAGAAGUAAUCGUGGAAAAAAAGGCAAAAUUAUUGAUUAGUCCUUAGAGACUUGACCGUUUUCUAUUUGUCCAGAUAAGUUCAUAUGGUAGGAUUAUACUUAAUUUUCUAUAUAUUUGAAUUAUGAUUUUGAGUAUCUUGAUAGUAAAUUAAAUUGUUUGCAAUUUGGUGCAAAGAGGUGAGGUAUGAACUAAAUCGUAAGGAAUUGAACAAUUAAUUGAAAAUUGAAAUAAUUAAGGAAAUAACCUUAAAUUGGACUGAAAUAGGAUAUAUUAUGUGAUAAAGUGAUUAUUUGAGGAAAUGAGCUAAAAUGAUUCGAUUUAGAUCGGUUGAAAGUGAUAAUGACGGAAUUGAAUAUAUGUGAAAAUAUUAUAUAAUUUUAUAAAUGUGAAAUUGAAUCAGUAUUGUUAUGUGUUAUGCUAUCAUAUUUGAGAAUUGAUGAUCGGUUAAUGAAAUUAUGUAAUGAAAUUGAGAAAUUGUUAUUCUUAUUAAUUGUUUGGGUAGAGUCAGAUAUAGUUGGAGUGUCGAUGAGGCACUGGGUGCCAAACUACUUCAGUUAUACCGAUGAGGCACUGGGUGUCAAACACAUUGAUGAGCACUGGGUACAAACUAUUUACUUUGACAUUGUCUGAUAAGGCACUAGGUGUCAAAUUGGUAUGAUAGGUGGGAUUCAUAUAUCCGUUCAAGUCUGAGUUAGAUUAAUAGGGGUAUAAAAAGAAAUUUUGAUAAAUGAUAUUUAAAUUGGGUUGAUAUAAUGAUUUGAUGAUUUGUAUACAUAAUGCGAUCUAUAAAUAUCGAUGGUAUGUGAAAAAUUAUACGAAACAGUUAUAUAAACCUAGAAGGCCGAUAUAGAAAUGUAAUAAAUCAAAGAAUUCGGUUCGAAAUUCAAAAUAAGGAAAUGAAAUGGUAAUUGACAUUAGAUUGAAAUUGAAUGUAUAAUAGAUAAAUAGAUGGAAUGAUCUGAUAUUAUAAGAAUGAUGUUCAUAUGGUUAAAUGUUGAUUUGGUUUUUAGUAUGGUAUUGAAAUGUGAUUCUAAGUGAUUUGGUUUAUUUCAUAUUGAAAUGUUAUAUGAUGAGGUUAAAUGUUAACUCACCUUUUUUAUUUUUGAUUUGUCAUGUUACUAAGCAUUGUAUAUGUUUACCUCUUUUAUUUUCCCUUUCCUUGUAGAUUGUCAAUUUGUAGAACACAUCAAGCGAAUCAUCCAAAGCUCACAUUAUCCUGGUAUGUGUUCAGUAGUCUUUAGACCGCAUUAAGGCCCGAUUAUGUAAGGCAUGUACUUAGGACUCGUUUUGGUUUACUUGCAAAGUGAUAUGGCUUGAAAUCUAUGUUGAUAGAAUUAUGACAAAGAUAAUGCUUAAUGGAAAACAUAUGCAUUAGUAAAUGGAUUGAAUUGUGCAUUUGACAUUUGAAAUGGCAUUUGGGUAUGCGAUUACAUAGGUAAUAUAAUGUUAUGAAAUGGUUAAAAGGCUUGGCUGAUUAGGUUGAGUUUAUUUAAGCUAAUUUGAUAUGUUAUGAUGCCAAAUUGUGGAAAUAUUGAAUUAGUUUAUUUGAAAUGGUGAUAUAUGAUGUUUUGACAAUGGUAUGAAUUAUGUGUUUAUAAUAUGUUGUGAUGUUUUUAGUGGUUAAUGAGUAAGAGAUAACAUGAUAGGUUAUUAAAGAGUAUUGAAUGAUUUUGAUACCUUGUGUGAAAAUCAUGAUGGCAGUUACAUGAUGAUGAAUAAAUAGGUCUAGUAGGUGACUUAAUUUGAAGGAUGAGUAGUAAUGGAUUGUUAUAGUUGCAUGAUAAUUGAAUUUGCACUAGUAAAAUGGAAUAAGCCUAGAUUUUGUCUAGUUGAUUUGGUUAGUAUAUGUUUUAAUGUUAGAAUAGGGAAUGAGUUGGAUGUAAUGGACCAUGAUUGGAAUAGUGUAACAUUCAUUCACUUUUGGUUGAUGUUACGUCCAUGAUGUAGUACCCUUGAUGUUUGUGGUUAAAUUAGUAUAUUUAAUUUUAAUUUUUUAUGUUAUAUGACAGAUUUUGGAGUGCUUAUUGAUACUAGCAUAGGCAUUUUUAAAAGUGGUAUUUGACAAUUCUGUGCAAAAGUACUUAUACUCUGGUAUUAAUUAUCGAUACUUGAUCAUAUGAACAAUUUUCUUAAAACAAAUAGUUUUAUUAUUCGGUAUCAAUACCAAAUAAAGUAUCGACACCAAGCAAUUAAGUAUGGAUACUAACUCUAAUAUUUUGAAAAUUUACAAUUCAACCCUAUUCAUGCUCAAACUUUACAAUUAAACCAUUGUAUGUUCUAAUUAUGGGAAUUGGAACGCAUUCGUAUUUGUAAUUGUAUGUUUUGAAUUUUUAUACAAAUUAUUUAUCGACAGUUGCCUAUCAAUGAAUGUGACAUCACGUUAUUCGGAUUUGACAUAAUAGGGUGUUACAUGUUUGCAUAAAAUAAUUGGGGAUUGACAUAAGAAUAGAUUGUACCAAAGUAACACGACCCGCCAUCGAAAUAAGUUUAGCGUCCCAACUAUCAAGUAAUCUAUAGACCCUAUCAAGGACAAACUUAAAGGUACUAAUAGUGAUACACUGUGAAAGGCGAUAUUAGCAGGAGUAUUCUUUGAAAAGAAAAACAUUGGUCUUUUGGGCAUUAACUUUGUGAUCCGAGAAAAGUCAAAAAGUUCUAAAUUAUUUUAACAACUUUUACUUGUUCUAUAUCAGCUUCAAUAAACAGGAACAAACCAUCCGCCUCUAGGGCAUGCUUGCAAUAAAAAGAUUAGUUUCCAAACCCUCUCUCCAACCAAUUUAUGAAUAUAUUGUCCCAAUCUUUCCAUACAUAGAAUAAAUAAAUAUGGAGAUAAAUGGCACCCCUACCUAAUACCUCUCAAAGGUUGGAACUCAUCCGAUAAAACACCACUCCACAGAGUUUGCAUACAAUCUGAAGAAAUGCGUUCCAUAAUAAUUUGAGAUAUUCCAUGAGGAAUGAAACGUAGUUGGUGCUAGACCAAGAGUGUUAAAAUGCAUGACGAGAGAAUCCCGCAAUUUAAAAAUGUUUCAAGAGAUGGGUGGGCAUUGGGCUCCACCUCUUGGAUCAAACUUAAUAUAGAUGGUGGCAUGGUGCUUUAAAGACAUGGGUUGGUCUUGCUUCAGUAGGAGGUGUUGUAUGUAAUUGUAGAGGCGAAUGGAUGCUAGGAUAUUGCAUAAGCCUUGGGUAGUUUAAUGUCCUUGAUGUGGAGCUUUGAUGUCUUUUUGAUGGCUUACAGUUAAUGUGAGAAAGGGGUUCGAAAAUGUACUAGUUGAAUGUGGUAGCUUGGAAGCGAUCUCGGUUAUAUUGAGCAGUAAGUCUAAAUCUUGUGGAUCGACUCUAGUGUGACAAAUACGCAAAUUGGUGGAACAUUGGGUGGUACCACCAGAAAACUUGUGGUGCAAGAAACAAAAUAAAGUAAAAUAAGAGAUUUGAGAUGUGAAUUACUUUCUUUAAAGUUUAAUUUUACCUCUAGAAUACAAAAUUUAGGAGUAACAUAAUUUGAGUUUUUAUGUAGGCACAGGAUGAUUCCAAGAUAUAUUCUUUUUCAAGGGUAAAUUAUCCAGAUGGACAUCCAACUUUUCAAAUGCUUUCAUUUUAGUUACCUCCAUUACGACAAUCUUCCAUUUUGCGUCUGACAACACGUAAGAAAACAUAAACACAAUAUUAUUCAAAGCUCCAUUUUAUUCAUUUUUUUCAAUAUUCAUCACAUGUUUCUUUCAAAAAUAAUAAAAUAAUAAAAUAUUCGUUGACAUGUUGAUUUUUCAUACAUGUAGCUUACUGCAGCAUGUAAGAAAACAAAGAAACAAUGGAAGCCCCAACCAAUGAUCCAAGAACAGGCAAGGUAGCGGCAGCCACGCUGGAAUCCGGUCCUGAUGCUGGAGCGGAACCAGGAGAGGAGCUAGGACUAGAACCACCGGCUGAAGGGGCAGGAGAUGGUGCACCGGCAGCCAUGACGGCGCUCAUUGAGGCGGCAGCAACAAUGAUGGCGGUGGAGACCUUCUUCAUGUCCAUGGCGUAUAAAGUGAUUAUUAAACGCACCGGAAAUGAGAGGGACCCGCGUUUAAUUACCGGUGAAUGGGGAUCCGCCGAUGAUUGUUAUUAUUUGCUUUGUUAUUGCAGGUCUGAAAAACAAUGAUGGUGGGGAGGAUCUUUUAUAGGUGAAAAUUCAUGGCUAUUUUUAGUGACGAAGUUUAAAGGAAAAAUUACGUGUUUGGUUUUCACAUGGUUUGCGGGAUAGACAUGCAAAAUUUUGAAUUUUUUUUAACGAUUUUUAGGUAAGGGGAUUUUAAAAUUUAAGAUUGAAUGAUAAUUUAUUUCUAUUUAAUUUUUUUUUAAAUCGUAAAAUUUGAUUUGCACGGAUAUGAGAGAUGGAAUUAAGGUCUAUUAAUUCCAUAGAUUUUAUAUUUAUUAAUUUUGAAUGGAUUUUUUUAACUAAAAUUUAAAUGAUAGAAGUAAAGUGAGAUGAUUUAAUCAUUUAUAUGUAAAUAUUAUAUAACAAGAUGUACUAAAAAAAAUGUUAUAUACUAUCAUAAAUGUAGAGUUGUCCAUGGAUUGGACUAUUUGGCUCGGUCUAAAGGUUCGCCUAAAAAAUAGAAGAGUUUAGACAACAAUAUAGACUCGAAAAAUAGACUUAGGCAACAAAUAUACAUGCGUCCUCCUAUAUUGAUAACAAUAUCUACACUAAUUCAACUAAAACUCAAUCAGCUAAUUCCAUCGAUUUUAUAUUUAUUAAUUUUGAAUGGAUUAAUGGUAAAGUAAAGCGACGCGAUUCUAAUCACUUAUAUGUAAAUAUUAUAUAAUAAGAUGUACUAAAAAAUAUUAUAUACUGUGAUAAAUGGUCGGAUGGUAAGUUUUUAUUUUGAUGAAUAAAAGACUAUAACGGUAAAAUUAUUAGUUAAGCUCCUGUAUUAAUUAGGAGAAGGUUGCAAUUUGGAAAUUUUUUUGAAAAAAAUGAGUAAAUUGGUCUUUAUAUAUUUUGAAAUAUACAAAUUAACUCUUCUGUUAAAUUUUAUCUAUUAAAUGAUGACAUGAAACGUUAAAUCUAUAUGUUGAAAAUUAUUUUUUUAUGGGUAUAUAAAAAUAGUCACCCAACUAUAUCUUUUAUUCUAUUUUAAUUGUCCGACUAAGGAUUCAUUUUGAUUUAAGUUUACCUUCAAUCUGACAUGAUUUGGACACUCUAUUGCCCAAUCAUGCCGCAAUAGAUCACUUGGAUGUAUAAUGGGAUUCAAUUUCAUCGCACUGAGGUCUUGCUUUUUCAUUGGAGGAUUACAACUCCAUUGACUUUCUUCUUCUUUUUUUGUAUCUAGACUUGAUCAUGAGACAGGCCAUCUCAGUUCAACCCAAAAGUCCAUCCAAAAAGUGAGUGGGUUUGAACUAAAAUAUAAGCUCAAAAACUAGAAUUGGGCUAGAAAACAAAAUUUAUUUUCUAAAUAGAUCGAGCUUCGAGUAAGCUUUGUCAUAGUUUCUAUCCUUACCCUCGUUAGUGGCAGGGAAAGGGACUGAGAAGGGCUUUGCAACCGCUUUACACCCUCUCCUAAAACGGGUUGAGACUCUCCAAAAUUCAUAAAAGCAUAAGUUAAAUAUAUAAUAAAUUUAUAAUUUAACCUAAAAAUUAUUAAAAUUUUAAUUUAAUCGUUUUAAAUGCCAUAAAAUAUAAUUAAAACCUAUUUUAACACUCAUAAAAAAUUAUUUUAAUCUCGAUUUCUAUAAAAGAUUUUCCAACUUCACCCCACAUUUAUCUAAUUACAUACUAGUUAGUUCAAUAAUUCAUUGGUAUUUUCAUGUUAUUCAUUGUUUUGAAUAAAUCGAAAAGUAAAAGCAUAAACACAACAUCCUUUCCAAAGCUCCAUUUCAAUUUUUUCAUUAUUCAUCACAUGUUUCUUACAAAAAACAUAAAAAUGAAAUAAAAUAUUCGUUCACAUGUUGAUUUUUCAUACAUGUAGCAUGUAAGAAAACAAAGUAACAAUGGAAGCCCCAACCAAUGAUCCAAGAACUGGCAAGGUUGCGGCAGCCACGCUGGAAUCUGGUCCUGAUGCUGUGGCGGAACCAGGAGAGGAGCUAGGAAUAGAACCACCGGCGGAAGGGGAAGGAGCAGGUGAACCGGCAGCCAUGACGGCGCUCAUUGAGGCGGCAGCAACAAUGAUGGCGGUGGAGACCUUCUUCAUGUCCAUGGCGUAUAAAGGGAUUAUUAAACGCACCGAAAAUAAAUGAGACCUGCGUUUAAUUACUGGUGAAUGGCUAUCGCCGGUGAUUGUUAUUACUUGCUUUGUUAUUGCAGGUCUGAAGAACAACGAUGGUGGGGAGGAUCAUUUAUAGGUGAAAAUUCAUGGCUAUUUUUAGUGACGAAAUUUUUAAAAAAAUUUACGUGUUUGGUUUUUGCAUGGUUUGCGGGAUAGACAUGCAAAUUUUUGAAUUUGUUUUAGCGAUUUAGACUGGAUUUUAAGGUGGGGAUUUUUUUUGGUAAGAGAAACAAGAGUAGUAAAUUACAGAAGAAUAAUUACCUCAAUCAAUAUCAUUUUGUAAAUUAUUCAGAAGAAUAAUCGAAUCAAUUUACUAUUUAAUCAAUUCAACCAAUCAAUCUAAUGAAAUUUGAAGAAUUUGGUUUCUCAAGGUGGAUAUACACUUCGGUUCAAUUACUAUUUAAUCAAUUGGGUCCUUAUUGGCUAAAAAUGAAUUCUUUUAGAAAAAUAUAUAUUUAAAAUUUUAGAGUUAGGACUAAAUUGAUAGAUUUUGUACAUAUUGAGGGUCAAAUUUAUUAUUAUUUUUAGAAUUAUAAUUAAAAUGACAAAUUUUGUAAACAUUGAGGGCUAAAUUUGUUGAUUUUUUUAUAUUUAGUAUCAAAUCGAUAGAAUGUAUAAAUAUUAGAGAGCUAAUUUUGUUACUAGACUAAUAAAACAAGCCCACAUCAGCUCAGAGUAACUAAAUCGAAAAAAUUAAUAGUUGGGUAACCAAAUAGAACAAAAGACAUAGUUGGGUGACUAUUUUUAUAGUUUACCCAUAAAAAUCAUUUUCAGCAAAGAUUUAACGUGCCACAUCAUCAUUUUACAUAUAAAUUUAACGGCAGUCUAAUUUGCACGUUUUGAAAUAUAUAUAAGGGCUAAUUUGUUCAUUUUUCAAUAAAGGGACCGAAAUGUAAUCUACCGCUAAGUUCAGUGGCUUCCCUAGUACUUUUACGGACUAUAAAGGAAUUGAACUUGAAUAAAUGUCUUUAUUUAUGUUCAUUUAUUUAUUUUUUAAAGCUUAUUUGUGUUUAAUUUGUGUUCGUUAAGUAAAAUCAUUUUCGUGUUCAUUUAUUUAUAACUAUGUGUGUUGAUCUUUGCUCGUUUAAACUUAGUGAGGAUUAUAGAAAAGGUUGGCAAGAGAGGGGGAUGGUUGUUUAAACGGUGGUGAGGUGCUGGAAGAGAGAGGUUGAAGAAGAAAUCUAUCAAGGGAGGGGUAUUUAUAGGCAAGGAUGAUCACCCCUUGGCAUUAGGCCCUAACACGUGCCUUCACUGGUCUUGUCAUGUUUGGUCCCUUAGAAAACAUUGUAGAACUUCUAAAUAAGCAAUAAUGGGAUCAAUAUGGACAUAGUAAAGCUCUACGUGGGUCUUACUUGUGUUCCAUGAAAAAGAAUGACUCAACACCUAUCAUUGGCAAGGUAGAUUAGAGGUGAGCCACGUGUAAACCAUACAUACGUUUGCAAGGGCCAUGGCUGGUGAAGUGUUGCCUAUGAGCGAAGUUAUAGUCGAGAAGGUUGUGUGUGACACCCCACACCCAAUUUGAUCAUCAGAUCCGAAUGUGUCACAUCACAUUACAUCAUCGAAACAACUCAAACUAACUUGACAUAAAUUUGCAAAAUUAAAUUCUUAUUCAUCAUUCAGAACAAUAAGCCUAUUCAUUAUGAUCAACAAAUAACAUUUGGCAUACAUAAGAAUCAAUUCCAUCUACAUACAAGGGGUUAUAAUGAGUUAAUAUAUUAGAAUUAGGGCUUGAAUCCAAACUCAAAUGUCAUAUUUCAAGUUAUGUCUCCAGACAUGGAGAAUCUCGAGACAGGUCAUAAAUUAUUUUGGAAAUUUUAGCUUCAAAGUUAACAUGUCUCGAGUUGAGUCUCGAGGCAAGGUCAUUUAUGUCUCGAGAUUGACCUCUCAUGUUUUCCUAUUUUUGGUUCGAUGUUUGAAUGUCUUGAGGCAAGAGCUCUUGUAUCAAGACUUGGAAUAAGGAAAAAAAAUUAAUUUAGCUUCGAUGUACUUCUAUCUUGAGACAAAGACCACUUGUCCCGAAACCUAGGAGCAAUUCUCUCGAGACUAAUUAGUUAUGUAUCGAGGCAUCGGGCUCUUGAAUGAAAAAAUUAAGAGAAAUUCUUUUUAACAGUAUUGAGGCAUGUUUGCCUUAUAUCGAGACUUAAUGACCAAAUGAACAAAAUUUCCCACUUCUAACUACCCAAAACCUUAGGCAGUUGAACUCAAACUGACCUAAAGCUUACCUUAAACCAUAAUCUCAAAUUAACCCAUCUAAACACAUUUAACGAUCACUAAAUUAUAAUCUUCCAUGCAUAAACACUUAAUAAACCAAUUCAAACAAUCAAACCAACAUAAACAAGCAUAAUUAACUAAUAGUCAAAAGAUAAAAUCUAACCUCUUAAGCAUUAUGGGUCACUUACUUAAAGUGGCAAAACUAAAUUAGGCAUCAAACCAACCAACCUAAGUACAUGUCAUAUGACUUCAAAACUGUUAAAAAGAAUUUCUCUUAAUUUUUGCAUACAAAACAUGAUUGUAAUGGCUUUUUGAGUUGAGUUGGAGAGUUGGAUGCUUGACCGCGAAAUAUUUAUAGCUUUUAUCCACAACUUACGUGUUUAUCUAAUAAAAAUAACCAACCAACCAACAUAACUUGAAUUCAAUUAUAAACCUAACAAAUCUAAUAAAAAUAAGUAAUAAGAAAACCCAAGUUAACCAACCAACAUUUCACAUUUAUCUAAUUACAUACUAGUUUGUUCAAUAAUUCAUUGUUAUUUUCAUGUUAAUCAUUGUUUUGAAUAAAUGGAAAAGUAAAAGCAUAAACACAACAUACUUUCCAAAGCUCCAUUUCAAUUUUUUCAUUAUUCAUCACAUGUUUCUUACAAAUAAAAUAAAAAAUAAAAUAAAAUAUUCGUUCACAUGUUCAGUUUUGAUACAUGUAGCUUACUGCAGCAUGUAAGAAAACAAAGAAACAAUGGAAGCCCCAACCAAUGAUCCAAGAACAGGCAAAGUGGCGGCAGCGACGCUGGAAUCCGGGCCUGCUGCUGGGGCGAAAGCGGGAGAGGAGCUAGGGCUAGAACCACCUGCGGAAGGGGAAGGAGCAGGUGCAUCAGCGGCCAUGACGGCGCUCAUUGAGGCGGCAGCAACAAUGAUGGCGGUGGAGACCUUCUUCAUGUCCAUGGCGUAUAAAGGGAUUAUUAAACGCACCGGAAAUGAAUGAGACCUGCGUUUAAUAACUGGUGAAUGGG